GAUGAACGCUGGCGGCGUGCCUAAUACAUGCAAGUCGAGCGAACGGACGAGAAGCUUGCUUCUCUGAUGUUAGCGGCGGACGGGUGAGUAACACGUGGAUAACCUACCUAUAAGACUGAGAUAACUUCGGGAAACCGGAGCUAAUACCGGAUGAUAUUUUGAACCGCAUGGUUCAAAAGUGAAAGACGGUCUUGCUGUCACUUAUAGAUGGAUCCGCGCUGCAUUAGCUAGUUGGUAAGGUAACGGCUUACCAAGGAAACGAUGCAUAGCCGACCUGAGAGGGUGAUCGGCCACACUGGAACUGAGACACGGUCCAGACUCCUACGGGAGGCAGCAGUAGGGAAUCUUCCGCAAUGGGCGAAAGCCUGACGGAGCAACGCCGCGUGAGUGAUGAAGGUCUUCGGAUCGUAAAACUCUGUUAUUAGGGAAGAACAUAUGUGUAAGUAACUGUGCACAUCUUGACGGUACCUAAUCAGAAAGCCACGGCUAACUACGUG
rnacentral:rRNA from 1 species